AUCCCGCCCGGCUUUAACCGACGGGCGUCUAAGAGAUACUGAGAGUCUAGGGACCGGGAGAGGUGAGAGGUACUCCGGGGGUAGGAGUGAAAUCCUGUAAUCCCCGGGGGACCACCGAUGGCGAAGGCAUCUCACCAGAACGGCUCCGACAGUGAGGGACGAAAGCUGGGGGAGCGAACCGGAUUAGAUACCCGGGUAGUCCCAGCCGUAAACUAUGCGCGUUAGGUGUAUCGGUGACCACGAGUCACCGGGGUGCCGAAGGGAAACCGUGAAACGCGCCGCCUGGGAAGUACGGUCGCAAGGCUGAAACUUAAAGGAAUUGGCGGGGGAGCACCACAACAGGUGGAGCCUGCGGUUUAAUUGGACUCAACGCCGGGAAGCUCACCGGAUAAGACAGCGGAAUGAUUGCCGGGCUGAAGACUCUGCAUGACUAGCUGAGAGGAGGUGCAUGGCCA
rnacentral:rRNA from 1 species